UAAUAGUAAUUCGAACUUUUGAAAGAGAAAUGAAAAAAAUGUUGUUCUUGGAGAGAAAUAAAAACUGAUAAGAAUAUAAUGUAUUAUUGAAAAUUUUCUCUUAAAGUGUUACAAUACAAUUCCUUUCAUACAAAUCAAGACAUAAAUGAUGCUCCCUUAUAACUAUCACUCUCCACAUUUAAUUAUCUGUCAUAACAGAUUUUCAACUAUUA
rnacentral:lncRNA from 1 species